GACGAACGCUGGCGGCGUGCCUAAUACAUGCAAGUAGAACGCUGAAGAGAGGAGCUUGCUCUUCUUGGAUGAGUUGCGAACGGGUGAGUAACGCGUAGGUAACCUGCCUGGUAGCGGGGGAUAACUAUUGGAAACGAUAGCUAAUACCGCAUAAAAUGGAUUAUCGCAUGAUAAUCCAUUGAAAGGUGCAAAUGCAUCACUACCAGAUGGACCUGCGUUGUAUUAGCUAGUUGGUGGGGUAACGGCUCACCAAGGCGACGAUACAUAGCCGACCUGAGAGGGUGAUCGGCCACACUGGGACUGAGACACGGCCCAGACUCCUACGGGAGGCAGCAGUAGGGAAUCUUCGGCAAUGGACGGAAGUCUGACCGAGCAACGCCGCGUGAGUGAAGAAGGUUUUCGGAUCGUAAAGCUCUGUUGUAAGAGAAGAACGAGUGUGAGAGUGGAAAGUUCACACUGUGACGGUAUCGUACCAGAAAGGGACGGCUAACUACGU
rnacentral:rRNA from 1 species